CUGCGCGCGCAGCUUCUUAGGGACCGUGUAGUGUAAAUCUGUGCUGCGCCGUCUCGCAGACUGCACCCCCAGGGUCUUGGGAGUCACUACGGACCUUAACUCCCAGCAGCCGGCCCUCCGACCCAGUAAAUCGAGACAAAACCGUUACAGGUCGGGCACCGUUGACCUUCAAGGAUGUGGCCGCAGAAUUCUCUCAGGAGGAGUGGGAAUGCCUGGACCCUGCCCAGAGGGCCUUGUACAGGGACGUGAUGCUGGAGACCUGCGGGAACCUGCUCUCCCUGGGCUUCCCUGGUGGCGCAGUGGUUGAGAGUCCGCCUGCCGAUGCAGGGGACGUGAGUUUGUAACCCAGUCCGGGAAGAUCCCACAUGCCGCAGAGCAGCUAGGCCCGUGAGCCAUGGCCGCUGAGCCGACACAUCCAGAGCCUGUGCUCUGCAACGGGAGAGACCACAACAGUGAGAGGCCCGCGUACCGCAAAAAAAAAAAAAAAAAAAAAAAUUACUUCUUUAUACAUUUUGCAUUCAAUAACAGAUAAUGAUUGUUUACAUAUUUGCCUUUUAAUUCAGGUUAAAAUAUGAGUUAUAAACCAAAAAAUACAGUAAUACUGCCUUUUAUAUACACCUAUGUAGUUAUAUUACCACUGUUCUUUGUUCCUGUGCCUUUGAGGUACUGCUAGUAGCCUUUCAUUUUGGCCUCAAGAAUUCCAUUUAGUGUUUCAUGUAGUAUAAGUCUGUCAAUGUAAACUUCCUCAGCUUUUGUUUAUCUAGGAGUCUCUAAAUUUCAUUAUCAAUUUUAAAGCAUAGUUUGCCUGAUAAUGAAUUAUUUUAAUCUUUCAAAAUUUAAAUAUAUCAUCAGAUUCCUUCCUGCCCUCCACAGUUUCUGAGAAAGAGGCUAUUAAUUUUAUUAAGCAUCUUUGUACAUGAGAAGUCAUUUCUGUCUUGCUACUCUCUACAUUCUUUUUUUGUAUUUUAACAAUUGACUAUGUGUCUUGCCCAAGCUCUCUAUGAAUUUAUCAUACUUGGAGUUCGUUGACUUUCUUGGAUUUGCAGGUUCACAUUUUUAAUAAAUUUGUGAGGUUUUUCAGCUCUUAUUUCUUCAAAUAUUAUUUCUGCCCUUUCCUGUUUCUCCUUUCCUUCUAGGACUCCUAUUAUGUGUAUACUGGUAUUCUUGGGAAUGUCUCAAAAGUUUCUUAGUCUCUGUUCAUGUUUCUUUUUACCACCUUUCUUCUAUUCAGAGUGGAUAAUUCCAAUUAACCUAUGUUCAGCUUCACUGAUUCUUUAUUCUGAUUGUCAAUCUGCUGUUGAAAUCCUCUAGGGAAUUCUCAAUUUCAGUUGUGGUACUUUUCAGCUCUAGAAUUUCUAAUUCUCUUUAUUGAUAUUUUCUGUUUCUUGAAACAGUUUUCUCCUACUUUCUUUUAGUUCUCUGUCCAUGGUUUCCCUUAAGUCUCUGAGUACAAUUAAGACAGUUGAUUUAAAAUCUUUAUUUAGUAAUUGUAGUAUCUGUGCUUCCUUAUGAACACCAUUAUUAACCCAGUAAUCAUGCUCAAGCUUCUCAUUCUGGAGAAAUUCUUAGAUAUCUAUAGUAAAGUUGGCAUGCUCAGAAGCAGCCACUGUGGCUUUUUUUUUAAAUAAUAAAUUUAUUUACUUAUUUGGCUGCGUCAGGUCUUAGUUGCGGCACACGGGCAAUUGUUGCGGCACACAGCCUCUCUAGUUGUGGCGGAUGGGCUCUAGAGUGCACAAAUGGGCUCAGUAGUUGCGGCGUAGGGGCUCCGUUGCCCCACGGCAUAUGGGAUCUUAGUUCCCCGACCAGAGAUCAAACCUGCGUCCCCUGCAUUGGAAGGUGGAUUCUUAACCACUGGACCACCAGGGAAGUCCCGGCCUUUUCUUAUAACUGUAAAAACUGUAAAGGACCCAUUUAUCUUCAUUAAGAGAAUGCUCCACUGAGGAUACAAAAAAGAAAGUCAUCUCUAUGUCUAUUCAUGAAAACAAGUCUAAGAUACAUGGUAUGUAGAUAUUUAAAUUUGAAGAAUAAAAUACCAUAACAAAAUAUUUAGUAAAGAAUAUUUUCUAAAAUCACAUUUCCAUAUGUAAAUGUACUGUUGUAAGAUUUGCAGUGAGAACGAACAGUGGUUUCUGAUGGAGACAGUAAGUGAUGGUGUUAAGAUGUGACAGGGAAGGGGAUAUUUUACUUCUUAGUCUCUAAACUGCAUCGCUGUGUGAAGCUGAAUUACAGAACUGUAUCUAUGAAGUGUUUAAAACAAAAAAAAUAUAACACUGAACAACAAGCAGUAGAAUCAUAAUUUGGCUCCAGUCUAUCUGAUGACAGAAAUUUGUGCUCCUAUGUCUUGGCUAAAUUAUAACCAUCUAAAACACAUGCUGGGACUUCCCUGGUGGUCCAGUGGGUAAGACUCCACGCUCCCAAUGCAGGGGGCCCAGGUUCAAUCCCUGGUUGGGGAAGUAGAUCCCACAUGCAUGCCACAACUAAAAAAGAUCCUGCAUGCUGCAACCAAAGAUCCUGCAUGCUGGAACCAAGAUCCCACCUUCUGCAACGAAGACCUGGCACAGCCAAAGUAAAUAAAUAAAUAAAUCUUCUAAAGUAAAUAAAUAAAACACAUGCUGCAUGAGAGUCCCCACAUGAACAGGAGGGUCUCUGUAAGACAAACAUGCUGUGAAUAAUAUUUAAAACCCUUAUUGUUAGAUAACACCCUAUUAUUUAUUUCUGUUUCUCAAAUUCCCAUUCUACUUUACAGUACUGAUAUUUUAGAGUGAAAACCACUGAUUCACUCCUUUUAUUUCAAAGGCACUUAUAAAAUCUGACAAAGCAAGUUUCCCCAUAUCAGUCUUCCUUCCCAGACCUCCUCAGGUAUUUGUGCACAGCAGUACAUCACUUACAUAUGUAGUCUCUUUCAUCCUGGUUUACAUGGAGCUGAAAGGGCAUCCAGAAGGGUGCACUAAACAAUCCUCACUGCCCUACCUCACUGACACCACAGAGCCUACUCCCCAUCUCCAACCCACGCCUGAGUAUAAAACCUUUCACGGGAUGACCACCUGAAAGGGGGCUCUUCCCAAGUUCCCCGUCACUGGGUCACAGUGACAUGGAAUCUGCAGGGAGGAGAGAGGAGACUGAGGGAAGGCCCUGUGUGUGAGUAAACAUUUUAGACAGGAAGCUUCAGAGACCAAGAAGCUCUGCGCGUCCGAAACGUGUCAUUUUAGGAAGGAGAGAACAGUCCACAAAGAAUAUG